rnacentral:misc_RNA from 1 species
GAUGAAGAACGUAGCGAAAUGCGAUAAGUAAUGUGAAUUGCAGAAUUCAGUGAAUCAUCGAAUCUUUGAACGCACAUUGCGCCCGCCAGUAUUCUGGCGGGCAUGCCUGUUCGAGCGUCAUUUAAACCCUCAAGCACAGCUUGGUGUUGGGACUCGCGUUAAUUCGCGUUCCCCAAAUUGAUUGGCGGUCACGUCGAGCUUCCAUAGCGUAGUAGUAAAACCCUCGUUACUGGUAAUCGUCGCGGCCACGCCGUUAAACCCCAACUUCUGAAUGUUGACCUCGGAUCAGGUAGGAAUACCCGCUGAACUUAAGCAUAUCAAUAAGCGGAGGA